ACAUCCUCUUUAUGUCCUGAGAGCCAUGUGCAGAUGAGGAAAAAUGACAUGCAAUGCAUUUUUGCCUGCCACAAUGACUUUGCAAUCAUAACAAGCAAAAUGUUCUAAACAGUAAGUGAAUCGAGGAAGAUAUACUGCCAAGUCAGGAAGAAAAAAUCCACCUGUUCAGUGAUUUCAGGAACUGCUGAAGAAAAUCACCAGAAAAUCAUACUGGUAGCCUUCAAGUGGCCAUGGUGGGAGCAUUGACCCAGGGAAAUCCACAUUUCCCAACACAUGCUGGAUACCUGAGGACUCCAGAGCUACUAUCUGCUCAUAUCUGCUCAACAUUAAAAAAAAAAAAAAAACCUCACAUUGUUAAGUGAAAAGGUUUAUUGGCAGAUUUGCUUAACUCAAUUUGCAAAGAUACCUUAGACCAGGGGUCGGCAAACUACAUUCCACAGAACGAAGCUGCCCAUUACUUGUCUUUUGUUUGUUUGUUUGUUUUGUUUUGUUUUGUUUUGAGAUGAAGUCUCGCUCUUGUUGCCCGGGCUGGAGUGCAAUGGUGUGAUCUCAGCUCACUGCAACCUCAACCUCCCUGGUUCAAGCAAUUCCCCUGCCUGAGCCUCCCAAGUAGCUGGGAUUACAGGCACAUGCCACCAUGCCCAACUGAUGUUUUUGUAUUUUUAGUAGAGAUGGGGUUUCACCAUGUUGGCCAGACUGGUCUCGAACUCCUGACCUCAGGUGAUCCACUGCCUCAGCCUCCCAAAGUGCUGGGAUUACAGGCGUGAUCCUAAGUACAGUUUUAUAGGACAACCAUGCUCAUUCAUUUCCGUAUCGUCCACGGCUGCUCUACAGCAGCAGAGUUUAGUGGUCAGGACAGAACCGGCACAACCUGCACAACCUGCACAACUUUCAAAGGCUGAAUAUUUACUCUCCGGCUCUUUAGAGAAAGUUUGCAACUCCUACUUUAGACUGAUGCUUCUCCAAUGCUAACGCGCCAGUCACCAAAUCACCGGCAUCUGGUCCCAGCCUCCAACCAUAAACCACAGCUGAAUGGAAACUUGGUAGCGCUUGCCUUCAAUAGCAGAUGCUGUAAGAGGAAAGCAAGGUGACCAAGAAAACAUUGCAAAACUCUGGGCAGAAUCUGGGGCCUGAAGACUCUGAGUCAGAGGCCUCUUUUUUUGCUCUAAACACAUAUUAGCAAGAGUCCAAGAGGCAUCAAAGAUGAGUUAGCAGCAAAAUGAGGCUUUGUCCUUCAUGUAGAAAGGAUUAAAUGAUAGUUGAAAAUGCAAUAACUUUCACCCUGUGGGAUUCAGUGAUGUUCAGUGCUGUGAUUAUGUCCAACUUCAAAUCUUGCUGUCCCAACUGGGACAGCCCAAACAUAGGGAGCCACUGCACUAAGAUGUUAUGAUUUAUUAAGAUAAUAAAGCUAGCGGGAUGACAAAUGUUUCAUUUUUCCCCCAUGUGUUUCCCCCAAAGGACCGUCUGCUUUUGCAUGUGAUUUGACUAUGCGCUGAGGACCUAGCGUGGUAUAUCAGCAAAGUGGAAAAGUGACUGAAGUGACUGUUUAUCAUCUUGUACCAAGUUACACCACUUUAAGCUUUAACUCCACAGCUCUUGCAUUAUUUUAAAACCGUCUGGCAGAUCUCUAAAACUAAUGGUACAAACCACUCUGUGAUACAUUAAAAUACAUCCCACUCUGUCAUACUGCAAACAAGUAGCUGCUCCCCAGUCUUUGAAAAAGUACUUUCAAGAUAAAAUAUGUACUCAUGGGUUCUGCAGGUUUUUAAAAAGUCUUGAAUCUUCACAGAUUUACUGGGGGGGAAGGGGCGUUUCAUGUAAAAUGUGUUUUUCCUUGACAUUUAGAGGUCUUGCAAAGUGGUUUAUUAUAGAUCUUGUGGACAUCUCGCUAUUUAAUUAAAUUUCAGAAAUAUAUUCUCUGCACUCAUAAGAAGGAAUAUGAAGAGUGUAUUUGUUCACUGUCUAUUUAUUAUUCGUUUUCUGUUUCUAACACAAAAUUAUCAGUUCGAAAUAAGUCAUCAGAGGCACUUAAAAUUUUUCAGGGUCAGAACUCUAAUUAACCUCAGCAACUCUGCUUAAAAUGUUGAAUAAUAUAAGACAAGUCCUUACAGGAAUCUUUGGUAAUAUUCAGUCUUGGUGAUAUAUUUACAACUAUUUUUUAAAAACUGACCUUCAAUGUCUAUUUUCAAAAGACGUGAGGGAAUGGAAAGCAGAUUGAGAAACAAGUCACUUGUGAGGUCUCAUCCAACACAUUUCAGUAAAUUAUUGCUGGAUGUAAGCAGCUGAAUUUGUAAACGAUUUCAUUACCUUACAUUUUAUAGAGAAAAUUAAGAGUAAGUUCACAGUAAAUGAACCUCUAGUCUGAAAAUAGCUCUUUCUCCUCAUUUAAACCUGAAAUCAGAAGGAUACAACCCAAAUGUGUUCCACCCAACACAUUUUGAGAUAAAUACAUUUCACAAUUGUCUUAUUGGUGGAUUUGCUUAACACAAUUUGGGUAUUUGUUACCCUCUGAUGAAUUCAGAGGAGUUUUUCAGAGGAUAACAUUGCAUGUUUGCAAAAAGUUUGCAUGUUUGCAUGUUGCGUGCAAUAAGUUUGCAUGCUCACAAUAAGUUUGCGUGUCCUUUAGUGCUAUCUUUUAUUUUUCUGUUAGGGAUUCUAGUUUGCAGUAGAACAAUUUCCUCCUGCAGCCUCAUUCAAAGUACCAUCAGGAUUCAACCUGUUUCUCUCCAUGAGACUGUUUUGCUCCUAACUUAUCAGAAUAAGAGCUCACGAGAUCAGCAGCUGACGGAAAUUGUCGGAACAGGAGCUGCUGGCACCCGUGUAGAAAGCACAGAAAAUAUGAACAGUUGGAGGCCCCUCCAGGCAAGUCACCUGGGAAGGCUGGUGACAGGUGAGAGGAAUUGGCACAGCAGGUAGGAAGGUGGUGGGCAGGCAGGUAGGUGGGCACCUUACCCAUUAAGAGCUGGAAACCUUGGCCAGGCUCAGUGGCUCAUGCCUGUAAUUCCAGCACUCUGGGAGGCUGAGGUGGGCAGAUCACCUGAGGUCAGGUGUUCGAGACCAGCCUUACCAAGAUGGUGAAACCCCAUCUCUACUAAAAAUACAAAAAAUUAGCAGUGUGGUGGUGGGCGCCUGUAAUCCCAGCUACUUGGGCAGCUGAGGCAGGAGAAUGGCUUGAACCUGGGAGGCAGAGAUUGGAGUGAGCCGAGAUUUCACCAUUGCACUCCAGCCUGGGCAACCAGAGUGAAAUUCCAUCUCAAAAAAUAAUGAAUAAAUAAAUAGCUGGAAACCUUGAGGGGAGGCAAGACUGAGAAGGGAGAGCCCAGGGCAGACAUUAAUGUCCAGUGGGCUGACUGGGUAAGAAGUGAGGAAGUGGAAGCCAGAGCCCAGGGAAAGAGGGGAGGGAAAGUGCUGAUCCCGGGGCCACUGGGCACCAGGCUCGUGUUAGUUUCCUGUGUCUCCUGUAAAAAAUGACCGCAAGCUCAGUGGCAUCAAAGAGUGCGGAUUUAGUAUCUUACAGUUCCAGAAAUGGGAAGUGGGAAAUGGGCAUCCCUGGCUAGAAUCAAGGUGUUGUCAGAGCUGUGAUCCUCUUGGAGGCCCUGAAGGAGAAUCCGUUUCCUGGCGUCUCUGGCUCUGAGGGGCUGCCCACUUUCCUUGGGUCACAGCCCCACCCUCCAUUCCUAAAGCCCGCAACCCUGGGAAGAGACCUGCUGCUGCUGUCUUCCACUUAUAAGGACCCGUGACCACACUGGACGCCCCUAGACAGUCCAGGAUAUGCUCCUCAUCUCCAAAAUCAGCUUAACAAAUGGAAACCCUCCUGUAACCCUAAGCCCUCUGUUUCAUGUAUAGUGACAUAGCCACAAGAUGUGGUUGUUAGGCUCUAGGUAUCUUUGGAGCCAUUAUUCCAUCUUCUAUACACCAGUGCAGAACAAAGGCUUAUUACUCAUGGGGAAUUUGCAAGAUCUGGUACCAAACAGGAUGUGG
rnacentral:lncRNA from 1 species